rnacentral:rRNA from 1 species
GACGAACGCUGGCGGCGUGCCUAAUACAUGCAAGUUGAGCGCUGAAGGUUGGUACUUGUACCGACUGGAUGAGCAGCGAACGGGUGAGUAACGCGUGGGGAAUCUGCCUUUGAGCGGGGGACAACAUUUGGAAACGAAUGCUAAUACCGCAUAAAAACUUUAAACACAAGUUUUAAGUUUGAAAGAUGCAAUUGCAUCACUCAAAGAUGAUCCCGCGUUGUAUUAGCUAGUUGGUGAGGUAAAGGCUCACCAAGGCGAUGAUACAUAGCCGACCUGAGAGGGUGAUCGGCCACAUUGGGACUGAGACACGGCCCAAACUCCUACGGGAGGCAGCAGUAGGGAAUCUUCGGCAAUGGACGAAAGUCUGACCGAGCAACGCCGCGUGAGUGAAGAAGGUUUUCGGAUCGUAAAACUCUGUUGGUAGAGAAGAACGUCGGUGAGAGUGGAAAGCUCAUCAAGUGACGGUAACUACCCAGAAAGGGACGGCUAACUACGUG